CCUACGGGAGGCAGCAGUGGGGAAUAUUGCACAAUGGGCGAAAGCCUGAUGCAGCGACGCCGCGUGAGGGAUGACGGCCUUCGGGUUGUAAACCUCUUUCAGCAGGGAAGAAGCGAAAGUGACGGUACCCGCAGAAGAAGCGCCGGCUAACUACGUGCCAGCAGCCGCGGUAAUACGUAGGGCGCAAGCGUUGUCCGGAAUUAUUGGGCGUAAAGAGCUCGUAGGCGGCUUGUCACGUCGGGUGUGAAAGCCCGGGGCUUAACCCCGGGUCUGCAUUCGAUACGGGCUAGCUAGAGUGUGGUAGGGGAGAUCGGAAUUCCUGGUGUAGCGGUGAAAUGCGCAGAUAUCAGGAGGAACACCGGUGGCGAAGGCGGAUCUCUGGGCCAUUACUGACGCUGAGGAGCGAAAGCGUGGGGAGCGAACAGGAUUAGAUACCCUGGUAGUCCACGCCGUAAACGGUGGGAACUAGGUGUUGGCGACAUUCCACGUCGUCGGUGCCGCAGCUAACGCAUUAAGUUCCCCGCCUGGGGAGUACGGCCGCAAGGCUAAAACUCAAAGGAAUUGACGG
rnacentral:rRNA from 1 species